CCUACGGGCGGCAGCAGUGGGGAAUAUUGGGCAAUGGGCGCAAGCCUGACCCAGCAACGCCGCGUGAAGGAAGAAGGCUUUCGGGUUGUAAACUUCCUUUCUGAGGGACGAAGAAAGUGACGGUACCUCAGGAAUAAGCCAUGGCUAACUACGUGCCAGCAGCCGCGGUACUACGGAGGUGGCAAGCGUUAUCCGGAUUUCAUGGGUGGAACGGGCGUUGAGGCGGGAAAGCAAGUCAGAUGGGAAAACUCAGGGCUCAACCCUGAUCCUGCAUUUGAAACUGGUUUUCUUGAGUGCAGGAGAGGCAAUCGGAAUUCCGUGUGUAGCUGUGAAAUGCGUAGAUAUACGGAGGAACACCAGUGGCGAAGGCGGAUUGCUGGACAGUAACUGACGCUGAGGCGCGAAAGCGUGGGGAGCAAACAGGAUUAGAUACCCGGGUAGUC
rnacentral:rRNA from 1 species